GGGCGGUUAGUUCAGUUGGUUAGAACGCAUGAUUUACAUUCAUGAAGUCAGGGGUUCAACUCCUCUACCGCCCA
rnacentral:tRNA from 1 species